UUGCCCCAUCUCAGUUCUAACACCAAUGCAGUCCUGCUGUAACAAAGCUCUCCCUUUCAAAGUGCCUAAAACCCUUCUCUUGCUGGGAGCUGGGAAACAAUCCCAGUGUUUUACAUGGGAAUGUAACUGAAGCCAAGGACACCUGAGGCCACCUACAAGUGCAGCAGUUUUCCCUGAGUUUCCCUGCUGGCACAGCUGGCAAAGUGCCUCCCGGGAUGGUGCCACAGAUGCUGGGCAUUGGACAGGGGUGAUUUGGUGUGAUACUUUGUCCUGAGUUUGCACAGCUCGUUAUUGAUGCCAGCAGUGACUGCUGAGACUGUGCUCAGGAGCAGAAGCAAGUUCCCAGUGUGUAACAAUGGGUAAGCAGUCACCUUCAGGAUUUUUCUAAAUGUAACACACACAGGAAUGUAAUAGAAAAUCACCCACCACUGAGGCUGUGCUGCUGCUGGAAGAAUCCCAGUGCAUUAUUCAGUAGCAUCCUGGGCACAGCGUUAUGAUGAUGGCUGAGAAUGAAUGAGCUCAGAGGUGCUAAAGGAAGGGUUGAAUUUUGUGGUGAUUUCUCUGCCUACUCCUGAAAUUUUUAGUUCAGUUCAAAUUAAAUUGACGCAUCUCACAAAUUACUGCUUGAACAGUGUAUAUGAAGCAAUGCUGACAAGUAGAAUCAAAGCCACUAAUAAUCCAUCUUAUGUAGCAUUUUCUGUUUUAUAGAAUGCAGAAACCUGGCUGACACUGAUACAUUUCCUUGGUUUGUUUUUAAGACUUUCUCACUGAUGAGCUCUGGGUACUACAUCUGAAUUAACUUAGGUCUGGCUUUACUGAAACACGUUAGUGAAGGGAACUACAUUAACCAGCGAUCUAGGAAAGAGACAGUCGUGCUCAGAACGAGGAUCUAAAAUAAUUCUCUGCAAACUUUGUUUUGCGUCCUGGCCCGGCCGAGGAAGCCUUGCCCUGCCGGGAAUUCCUGCUGCUUUUCGGGCUCUCCAGAAGGGGGAGGUGCUGCCUCAUCUGUGGCAGCGAAGGAACAUCCGAGAGCGAAGCUGCUUGUGCAGAACCCUGGUUCAGGUGCCCUGACAAAGGCAAGCACGAAAACUGCACCGAAUUUCAGUGGAAGUCGCAGUAUUUUGCUAUGCACAGACACAGAGUUUCUUGCACCCUUUACAGCAGAAUAGUGAUCAUAGGAAAGGAAGAGAUGGGCUGGAGGUGAACCCAAUGUAUCCUUUUGGCAGUUAAUUGAUAUCAGUGUUUUCUUUGGGGAAUUUGAUAUUUUCAUUCCGAGCUUGUUGCACAGUUUAGAAGAAUAGUCUGAUGAUCAUGUGUAUCUUUGCUGUUUUUAAUUUGAUUGCUGUUUCACUGCUGCAACACAGACAGAUGGCUGGUUUGUUAUGAGUGUGAAAUCUUUUUUACCACGAGAAUUGUACCUGUCAGAGAAACCACUAGAAAAAAAGGAUCAGAACUUCCUUGUAAAAUAUUUUGCAACAGCAUUUAUCAUACUUCCACUGAUACUAGAAUAUUGAAUUUUCAAGUAUUUAUUUUAACAACAGAAGAAAUCUCAAAUGCUUUCUUUACAAAAUUUCCUGAAUUUUGGUCAAUAUUUCUGGUCCAUAAAGUAGGAGGGAGUGAUACAGUUUGGCUGCAAGUGGCAUUCCCUGUCACAUCUGCCAGUUUUCAUCUGUGAACUCAUCCAUAAGUUUGUAGUUGAAAAGAAAUACUUUGAGUGGAAGUAUAGCUGAAACACUGCCUGCAUUUUACAGCUGCCUUUAGAAGAAAUGAUGAAAACUUUGUAUAUAAAUGUGUGCAUACCUGCACAUUCAGAAGUUUCUGUUUCCUUUAAUAAAGGCCUUAUGAGCAUGGUGCAGCCAAAAACCCUAUUACAUUUCACAAAGGAAGAGUUCAUAAUAUAUUAGGGUUUCUUUAAAUGUUUUACUUAAUAUUGCAAUUAACAAUUGAAACAGAGAUCUUUCUGUGAGGAAUCUCUCCCCUCUGACUGAAUUGUAAUGUGUGUGCAUGCAAGAUUUUUUUCUAGUGAUUACCUUUUAUAGUUCCUUUGGUUUCCCAUAAGUGAAAGCACUGGUGUUUAGCCCUGCAAAAUCAGCUUCUCUUCUCUAUCAAUGCAUCCAGCAGAAGGAGUCUGUCCCUGCAGACAAAUCAGUGGAAAGAUGAGUUCAUGUCAUUCAUCAUAAAGUUGAAAAUAAUGAUUUGGGACAGCAAAUAAGGAGAUCUUAAGGAAAUGUGUCCUCAGUGUGUGAAACUAAGGCAUGUCAUCUUCCUCAGAAGGAGCAGAACUGCCUUGGUGUUAGAACUGCUGAUGAACAUUGCUCCUGUCUCUGCAGUAGCAGCCCAGUUCUGUUCCUGGUUUAGUGGCAAAUGCUGUUGCCCCAGUGAAGUAAAACUGAACAUUCAUCACCCCUGCAUGACCAACAGCAGGGCAGGAUAGUGACAACUGCUGGGACUGUGCUUUUUUCCUGCAGGAUUCACCAGGGAUGGUGCUUAAGAAUUGUUUUAUUUAAAAGCCUGACUAAUGUCAAUUGGAACAACUGAUGUGCACUGCAAAUGACUGAUGGCAUGUGAAAAUGUAAAAAACCAACAAAUGGAGUCAGGCUUCCCAGGAUGCCAGCUGAUGAGGAUCUGUUUGUCAAACCACACCGUGGUGCAAACAAGUCUGAGCUUUGCUGGGUCCCUUACAUGUGUGAUUCCAAUAUUUAUUGUGUUGUGCAUUAAUUAAUGAAUAAAGAAUAUUUUUUUUCUAGUAAAUGUGUGAUUGUAUUUGCUUAAUUUUGUACAUAUGCUUUCUGCUUACAAUAGAUUUAUUUUUUGAUCUUGCUGUUGUUUCUCUUGGUUGAAGUGUGUGUUAAGGAAAUGAAGAAGUAGACAGACUCAGACCUUUUGAGAAGGAAAUGUUGAUACCUCUCUGUAUCUGUGUGUAAACUGAAUAACCGUGGGGAUUUUUCCAGGCUGGAUGGCCUCUUAUUUUAAAUUUAAGGGAACCUGUAGACUUGGUUCUAACUAAUUAGGAUAGCUAGUAACAGUGGCUAAAAAAGGGAAUAAGGAUCAAGAGGAAGUGCAUUAAUUUUCAACUUCACACGAAGGCAGGUUGUACAAACACAGCUGGAAACAUCAGGAAACCCAGGCAUUUUCCUCAGAGGAAUGGAGUCAGCUAAUGUUCUGCUGGCAGGAGAUCCUGAGUGAUUGGGAAGAUGUUGUCAGGCAGCAGUUUGGGCAGCAGGGUGUUCACACUCUGAUCACACUGCUGGGUUCAGCCACUGCCACGAGGAAUGACUGCCUUCUGUGCUGAUGACAGAUCUGCCCCUCUGUUAUCAGGCACUGCAGUUUUGCCAUCUCAGUUUCAUAAGAGUUGCUCCUGCCUAGGAGCCAGUGGAGCAGCCGUGCUGGGCAGAGCAGCUCUCUGAGGAGGUGGGUGAUGGAUGACACAGUGAUUCCCUUUGGCAUGGAUGGGGCACGCAGCUCCUCCUGUGCUCAGGGAAGAAGCAGGUCUGGCACUUCUACUGCCCUGAGGUUCUGUGGGGCUCCAUGAAUGGGUUUGCAGUGAUGCAGCUCCACUGGCACAAAACUCUGGCGAUGUCCCAGCACAAAGCAAAGUCUGUCUGGAAGCAGCUUGCUCUGAAAGGUGUCUGCAAGCAGAAGAGAUGCCCUU